rnacentral:rRNA from 1 species
CUAUGGCCUCAGAUCAGACGUGCUGACCCGCUGAAUUUAAGCAUAUUACUACGCAGAGAAAAAGAAACUAACCAGGAUUCCCUCAGUAACGGCCAGUGAAGAGGGAAGAGCCCAGCGCCGAAUCCCCAUUCAGCGGCAGCUGUGGGAAAUGUAGCGUACAGAAGACCGACUCCUCGGCAUCGCUCAGGGGGCUCAAGUCCUUCUGAUCGAGUCUGACCCCGCGGACAGUGUUAGGCCGGUAGCGGCUUCUUGCACACCAGGAUCAGGUCUUCUUGGAGUCAGAUUGCUUGGGAAUGCAGCCCAAAGCAUGUGGUAAACUCUGUCUAAGGCUAAAUACAGCACGAGACUGAUGGCCUACAAGUACCGUAAGGGAAAGUUGAAGAGAACUUUGAAGAGAGAGUUCAAGAGGGCGUGAAACCGUUGAGAGGUAAACUGAUGGGGUCCAUGCAGUCCGCCUGCAGGAUUCAACACGGCCGGCUGGUCAGUCGCCUGGAAUUGUGGAGGCCCUUGUGGGACUGCCGUCCGGGCACACCCAGCCCCAGCAGGGUACAUUUCCUCUGUGGCGGUGCACCACAACCGGCUGGCAAGGCCCCAGGGGGCAGGUGGAUCUCUGCUCCAGCAGAGAGUGUUACAGCCCCCUGACAGCAGUUUUGCUGUGUCCGCGGUGGCAACGAGAGACAGGGCUCCAGAUGCCACUGUGGUGGACUGCCCUCAGUGCGCUCCGACCAUGUUGUGCUGCCGGGUGGGAGGGCCACAAAGGGCACCAGGGGUCUGAGGUGAUGUCAGUUAACCACCCGACCUGUCUUGAAACACAGACCAAGGAGUAUAACACGUGCACCAGUCAGAGGGCCGAACGAAAUCCUGUGAUGUAAUGAUGAUGAGGGCCGGCGCUCACCGAUUGCAGUGGGAUCCCGUCAUGGUGGGUGCUCCACCGACCCGUCUCACCUGCUCUGUCAGGGAGAUGGGGCAUUAGCGUGUGUGAUAGGACCCGAAAGAUUGUGAACUCGGCCUGGUGGAGGUCCGUAGCGGUCCUGAUGUGUAAAUCGGUCGUCCGACCUGGGUAUAGGGGCAAAAGACUAAACGAACAUCUAGCAGCUGGUUCUCUCCGAAGUUUCCCUCAGGAUAGCUGGCGCACGGAAACCCAGUUUCAUCUAGCAAAGCGAAUGAUUAGAGGUCUUCGGGCCAAAAUGAUCUGAACCUAUUCUUAAACUUUAAAUGGCUAAGAAGCCUGGCUCGUUGGCAUGGAGCCGGGCAUUGAAUGCAAGUGCCCAGUCGGCAACUUUUGGUAAGCAGAACUGGCGCUGCAGGAUUAACCGAACGCCGGCUUAAGGCGCCUGAUGCCAACGCUCAUCAGACCCCAGAAAUGGUGUUGAUUGAUAUAGACAGCAGGAUGGUGGCCAUGGAAGUCGGAAUCUGCUAAGGAAUGUGUAACAACUCACCUGCCAAAUCAACUAGCCCAGAAAAUGGAUGGCGCUGGAACGUCGAGCCCAUACCCGGCCGGCGCUGAGAGCCAAUGGAGCUAAGUCGCAACAAGUAGGAGGUCCGCUGUGUUGUGCACAGAAGCCCAGGGCGAGGGCCCAGGUGGACCGGCCACAGGUGCAGAUCUUGGUGAUAGUAGCAAAUAUUCAAACGAGAACUUUGAAGGCUGAAGUGGAGAAGGGUCCCAUGUGAACAGCAGUUGAAAAGGCAUCAGUCGGUCCUAAGAGAUAGGCGAGCACCGUUCGGAAGGGAUGGGCAAUGGCCUCUGUUGCCCUCGGCCGAUCAAAAGGGAGUCAGCUUCAGAUCCCCGGACUGGCAGAGACGGGCGCCCUCGUGGCAUCCAGUGAAGUAACGAAAAUGAUUCCAGAGAAGCCGGCGGGAGCCCCUGGGAGAGUUCUCUUUUCUUUGUGAAGGGCAGGGCACCCUGGAAUUGGUUUGCCCAGAGAAAGGGGCCCCAGUCUUGGAAAGCGUCAUGGUGCCGGUGGCAUCCGGUGAGCUCUCGCUGGUCCUGGAAAAUCCAGGGGAGAUGGUGUAAUCUCUGCCGGGCCGUACCCAUAUCCGCAGCAGGUCUCCAAAGCAAACAGCCUCUGGCAUGUUUGAACAAUGUAGGUAAGGGAAGUCGGCAAGUCAGAUCCGUAACUUCGACCCGGCCCUUUGGGAUAAGGAUUGGCUCUGUCGGGGUGGGCGCGCGCCAUGGCUGGGCGAGGCGUCUUCCCUCCAGGGGCGGUGCUGACUCUAGAUGCAAGCCAGGCCCUUCCUGUGGAUCACACCAGGUGCAGUGGUCGCCUCUCUCAUUCCCCCUCCUGAGGUUCGGGCCGGCAUUCUGCCUCGGCCGACACCUAGCAGCUGACUUAGAAUUGGUGCGGACAAGGGAAAUCUGACUGUUUAAUUAAAACAAAGCAUUGCGAAGGCCCGCGGUGGGUGUUUUGCCGCAAUGUGAUUUCUGCCCAGUGCUCUGAAUGCAUAGCUCUCAACUCACCCGCUUUUGGCGGGUGUCACCCGCCUUGUAAUCAGGUGAGUCACCCGCCAAGCCUUGUGCACGCCCAUUCAUUUCAAUGGGCCUCUCUCACCCGCCAAACACAAAAUCGGGUGAUUUCACCCGCCUUUGCAUCGAAAAAGGUUGAGAUCUAUGUGAAUGUCAAAGUGAAGAAAUUCAAUGAAGCAUGGGUAAACGGCGGAAGUAACUAUGAAUCUUAAGGCAGCCAAAUGCCUUGUCAUCUAAUUAGUGAUGUGCAUGAAUGGAUGAAUGAGAUUCCGACUGUCCCUACCUACUAACUAGCGAAACUACAGCCAAGGGAAAAGGCUUGGCAGAAUCUGGAAGGAAGACGACCCGGUUGAGUUUGACUCUAGUCUUGUAACGCUCACCUGAUUCCCGCAGAGGCGCCGGUCUUGACUGGGUGAAUGCCGUAUCUUCAAAGGUGAUGUGUAACACACGGUUGGCUCUUUGGGCUGGACCUCUGUGCACUGUAUGUCUGACUCGAAGAGUAAGAUGUCUGCAGAUAGAAAAUAUGGGAUUAAUGAACUGGGGUUAUUGGGUGCCUCUCUCCUCUUCCCUUUCUCUUCUCCUGUAGAACCCAAAGGUUAACGCCCUCACCUUAGGUAAGUGAACGCCGAGCUCUCCAUCUGCCUCGGGGCAGGGUGC